rnacentral:rRNA from 1 species
CCUACGGGAGGCUGCAGUGGGGAAUAUUGGACAAUGGGGGCAACCCUGAUCCAGCCAUGCCGCGUGUGUGAAGAAGGCCCUCGGGUUGUAAAGCACUUUCAGUGAGGAAGAACGCCUGGUGGUUAAUACCCAUCAGGAAAGACAUCACUCACAGAAGAAGCACCGGCUAACUCCGUGCCAGCAGCCGCGGUAAUACGGAGGGUGCGAGCGUUAAUCGGAAUUACUGGGCGUAAAGCGCGCGUAGGUGGCUUGAUAAGCCGGUUGUGAAAGCCCCGGGCUCAACCUGGGAACGGCAUCCGGAACUGUCAAGCUAGAGUGAAGGAGAGGAAGGUAGAAUUCCCGGUGUAGCGGUGAAAUGCGUAGAGAUCGGGAGGAAUACCAGUGGCGAAGGCGGCCUUCUGGACUGACACUGACACUGAGGUGCGAAAGCGUGGGUAGCAAACAGGAUUAGAUACCCGAGUAGUC